rnacentral:rRNA from 1 species
UGACCGAGUGGCGGACGGGUGAGUAACGCGUGGGUAACCUGCCUCAUACAGGGGGAUAACAGUUAGAAAUGACUGCUAAUACCGCAUAAGCGCACGGUGCUGCAUGGCACAGUGUGAAAAACUCCGGUGGUAUGAGAUGGACCCGCGUCUGAUUAGCUAGUUGGUGGGGUAACGGCCUACCAAGGCGACGAUCAGUAGCCGGCCUGAGAGGGUGAACGGCCACAUUGGGACUGAGACACGGCCCAAACUCCUACGGGAGGCAGCAGUGGGGAAUAUUGCACAAUGGGGGAAACCCUGAUGCAGCGACGCCGCGUGAGCGAAGAAGUAUUUCGGUAUGUAAAGCUCUAUCAGCAGGGAAGAAAAUGACGGUACCUGACUAAGAAGCACCGGCUAAAUACGUGCCAGCAGCCGCGGUAAUACGUAUGGUGCAAGCGUUAUCCGGAUUUACUGGGUGUAAAGGGAGCGUAGACGGUUGUGUAAGUCUGAUGUGAAAGCCCGGGGCUCAACCCCGGGACUGCAUUGGAAACUAUGUAACUAGAGUGUCGGAGAGGUAAGCGGAAUUCCUAGUGUAGCGGUGAAAUGCGUAGAUAUUAGGAGGAACACCAGUGGCGAAGGCGGCUUACUGGACGA